rnacentral:snRNA from 1 species
GUGCUCAUCCAGUAGCACAUAUACUAAAAUCAUAACAGAGCAGAUUAACAUUGCCCCUGCAUAAGGAUGAGGCACAAAUUCCUGAAGUGUUCCAUAUUAAA